UUGCAAAUCACAACAUAGAUUAAUUGACCUCAAAGAGAAAUAGAAAUCACCAGUCGAUAUUUAUACAGGCACGACAUUUAAUAUUUCAUUGGUAUCAUCCAACCAAAAACUAAGAAAUUAAUUAAAAAUUCAUAGCCUAAUAUUGAAAAUGAUAAAUAGAAAUCGCAUUAUAUAAAUGCGACACAGGCUGAUCGACAAAUUGGGCACGAAAUCUUAAUUGUUAUCCAUUUUAAUAUGCAAUGUUCGGGAAAUUUGUGAGCACAAUGCGUUUCUACAAUUUUCAUACCUUCAGAAAAUUCUUCCAAACAAAUGGAGCAUCGAUCCGAUGUUAGAUCACAAAAUUGAAAUUUAUUGUAAACAAUGGCUCGCUUCACUUUGUACAAUCUUGCGGUUCAUCGCUUUCAAUUUGUUCCAAUACCUCAAUUUCCGAUAUCCCCAAAAGGAAUUUCAAUAUUCGUAAAAUAUCAGAAUCAGCACCAUCGGCAGAUUCAAUUUCCUCACUUGAUGUUUCAUCCUCAAAAUUUUCCAAAUUUCUCUUCAUAUUCCAGGACCUCCCGGUCAUCAAUCACAGAAUUUUCGUCCACUAGAUGUUCUUUGGUAUGAUCGACCGUCUUUUUUCGAUGAAUUUCAACCACAGCAACAGGCUUCAGACGAUUACCGUACAAAGUUCGAAGGUUUAUGCGAAAAUAUGUACGUAGAUUUGUAGCUAUACUUUCGGCUAGUAUUAUACAGUGUUCUGGUAUGAAAAACUCACCGGAUAAAAUGGAAAAAUCCGACUUAUGAAUCCGACAGGGGCGACAUAAAUCGAAAGUAAUUAAAUCAGGAUGCACUGCGAAUUCUGUACACAAAUUAGUUCCAUCUCCGUUCUCAUUCGAAGUUACCGUAAUUAUUUCAUCAUAAACCCUAAGCAGAAAUAAGCCCUUUCUAUUCGUCUUCUCCGGGAGCUUUUCGUUCCACUUGAACAUUCGCAGAUGUACGCCAUUGAUUUCUUCAGUUAUGACUACCAUCUCUAACACACACAAAAUCACGGAUUUUAUCUAAUUUUUUGGAAACUUUGAACUGGAAUGGUCUAUAUUCACUAGAAAUUUCGAUCAGAAAUUGUGAGGUAUGGAUGCUGGUUAAUUUCGGUCGCACCCUAAUCUGGGAAGAAAGAUAAAUUGAUAACAAAAUUUAAAUUCUAUAUUUCAAGAACUGGUAUACUAAACUCAAAUUAGUUACAAUCCUUAGCGUUGAGAAUUUGGCCAAAAAAUUGAAAAUGAGAGUAAUAUGAGCAAUAUGAAAA
rnacentral:lncRNA from 1 species